CUCCUCUAUCUUUAAGAUGGCGAGGUGGGAGUCACUGAUAUCCAGUCCUUCUUUGAGCUUGGACAGUCUGUGUACCUAUCGUUGUUAAGCUGACCUAACAUAUUCUUUUUGGAAUAGACAUAUUAAUAUGAAAGUUGAUGCACAAUGCUAUGCCUUCCACAUAUGCCUCCCUCUUUGCCAGUUCUUCCAGUUCUGAGACCCUCUCUGUGCACUUUCAUGCCUUAGUCCAGGUGGACCAUUCUGGACUAGUAGAGUCAGGAAUUGGUUACUCAGAGGGAAAAAUCAGGUCAGUAAACAUGAGCCUUUGUCUGAAUGAGGUUUAUUUCUAUGUAACGUUACUACAGGUAAUGAGCUAAUGAGAAAGUUGUACUGGGGAAAAGGUUUAGAAGAAAGCAGGAUGGGGGACAUCACAUAUUAUAAGAAUAAAAAAAAGCCCUGAAGUUCAAUUUGCAAUAUAAGCAAAGGAGCACUUAUAAAGAGUUAUUUCAAAACCAUUGCCAGAUCUAAGUAAGAAAGCAAGACAAAAAGAAAAGAAAUGCAAUGGGCCCCAGAAAUCUAUUCUUGUCACAGUGUGCCUUUAGACAUGGGCUAUGUCAGGUCACAACAUAGUUUAUGGUCCAAACCAAGACAUGUUUGAGAGUGAAAGGGGCACUAUUAAUCAUGGCAGUGGGACAACAGGUGUAAGCUAGGACCUAGGAUCGCUGCAGUCAUAUCUCUACUCAUUGCAGAAACUUCUGAAUAUGUGUCGAUCAGAAUGGAGUGAGUGAGUAAAAUACACGUGACAAGAGAAGGAAGUCUAUGAGCACUCCUUUCCUUCCCAUUGAGGGGCAUAAAGCAUAACAGCAAAGGAUGCUGCCGAAUGUCACAGGAUCACCAGACUGUCUGCAUCAAUUCAGAUUUCCUAGAGCAAGAGAUUAACACCAUAUGACUUAAUCUCAUAAUAUUUCUGAUGCGGAGGGCAGGAAGGGAAUUCCUGACAGAGGGAGAAGCACAUGCAAAGCUUGUGAAGAGAAGCUUUCUCACCCGAGUUAAAGGAACCCCAAGGAUGCAAUCUGGAUGUAAAGAGGUGAGGAAGAGAGAACCAGA